CGGAGUCGCCGGUUGACGGGUAUUGUUGAUGUCAAUAUUAUAGAAUUAAUUUCACUCCGC
rnacentral:tRNA from 2 species